rnacentral:rRNA from 1 species
AGCUCCAAUAGCGUAUAUUAAAGUUGUUGCAGUUAAAAAGCUCGUAGUUGGAUUUGUGGUGGUUGUCUUCCAGCCUUCACAUUGUGUUGGAUCUGGGUAGACUACCCCAUGCUUGGAGUGGAAGCUGUGUGGCAUUAAGUUGUCGUGUAGUGAAAACCCAUCGUUUACUGUGAAAAAAUUAGAGUGUUCAAAGCAGGCGUCAGCUCAUGAAUAUAUUAGCAUGGAAUAAUGAUAUAGGACUUUGGUACUAUUUUGUUGGACUUGCGUGUCAAAGUAAUGAUUAACAGGGACAGUUGGGGGUAUUUGUAUUCCAUUGUCAGAGGUGAAAUUCUUGGAUUUUUGGAAGACAAACUACUGCGAAAGCAUUUACCAAGGAUGUUUUCAUUAAUCAAGAACGAAA